rnacentral:rRNA from 1 species
GAUGAACGCUGGCGGCGUGCCUAAUACAUGCAAGUCGAGCGAACAGACGAGGAGCUUGCUCCUCUGACGUUAGCGGCGGACGGGUGAGUAACACGUGGAUAACCUACCUAUAAGACUGGGAUAAAUUCGGGAAACCGGAGCUAAUACCGGAUAAUAUAUUGAACCGCAUGGUUCAAUAGUGAAAGACGGUUUUGCUGUCACUUAUAGAUGGAUCCGCGCCGCAUUAGCUAGUUGGUAAGGUAACGGCUUACCAAGGCAACGAUGCGUAGCCGACCUGAGAGGGUGGUCGGCCACACUGGAACGGAGACACGGUCCAGACUCCUACGGGAGGCAGCAGUAGGGAAUCUUCCGCAAUGGUCGAAAGCCUGACGGAGCAACGCCGCGUGAGUGAUGAAGGUCUUCGGAUCGUAAAACUCUGUUAUUAGGGAAGAACAAAUGUGUAAGUAACUAUGCACGUCUUGACGGUACCUAAUCAGAAAGCCACGGCUAACUACGUG